GUGCUCNCUUCAUCAGCACAUAUACGAAAAUUGGAAUGUUACAGAGAAGAUUAGCAUGGCCCCUGUGCAAGGAUGACAUGUAAAUUCAUGAAGCAUUACAUUUUUUU
rnacentral:snRNA from 1 species